UAGGGAAUCUUCCGCAAUGGACGCAAGUCUGACGGAGCAACGCCGCGUGAGUGAAGAAGGAUUUCGGUUCGUAAAACUCUGUUGUUAGAGAAGAACAGCGCAUAGAGUAACUGUUAUGCGUGUGACGGUAUCUAACCAGAAAGCCCCGGCUAAAUACGUGCCAGCAGCCGCGGUAAUACGUAUGGGGCAAGCGUUAUCCGGAUUUACUGGGUGUAAAGGGAGCGUAGGCGGCAGUACAAGUCGGGAGUGAAAACUCGGGGCUCAACCCCGAGACUGCUCUCGAAACUGGACAGCUAGAGUGCAGGAAGGGCAGGCGGAAUUCCUGGUGUAGCGGUGAAAUGCGUAGAUAUCAGGAGGAACACCGGUGGCGAAGGCGGCCUGCUGGACUGUAACUGACGCUGAGGCUCGAAAGCGUGGGGAGCGAACAGG
rnacentral:rRNA from 1 species